ACCAUAUUUUAAGACAGGUUGGGGUGUUGAUCGUGAUUUUUCUGAGUUGGGGGAUAGUCUUGUUCGAGCUCGUGUUGUUGAGGAGGGAGAUAGGCUUCUUCAAGUGGGAGAUAGCCUUAUUCAAGAGUGAAAUGAAAGGUGAGAGUGCAGGAAAUGGUUGGACGCGAAGGACGAUUGGUUCAGCCAAGUCUCAAAGUUGUGGAUCAUCUUCACGGUUACCAUAAAAAAUGUGUGGUUGUGAGUAAUUCAACUUGUAAUUACUUCGAAUGGCAUGAAGAAGAAGUUUCUGAAAUUCAAGGCAAACGUGAAGGAGUUGAUCUGUGUUUGGAAAAUGAUAUAGUUGUCCUGGAUCAAAAGAAGAAGAUAGAGAAGCUGAAAAGGAAAUUACAAGAAGAGAAGAAACAUGGGAAAAUGAUGUUGUACCUAUUUGUGUUGUCAUGGGCAUUAACCAUUUACUUUUGUGUUAUGUUUUUACU